rnacentral:tRNA from 1 species
AGUGUUAUUUAGAUGCAGUGAUGUUGUAUCUUUGUUUUUCUGACACUU